rnacentral:lncRNA from 1 species
GUUGGCACAUACUUUUCAAAGCUAGAUUCAAACAAUGAACAACACAAGGAGUCCAAAAUAUAUGAGGAUAUUUUUCCUCCACCAUAGUACCGGCAAGUUUCAUAUUACUUGCGUUAUCUGUAAUAACUUGAACAACAUUAUUUGGACCUACUUUCUCUAUUGCUUCAAGAAACAAAUUAAUAAUAUAUUCUCCACCCUUCGUGCACCCGCUAGAAUUUAUUGAAUUUAAAAAUAUUGGACCCCCACUAGAUGAUGCCAAUAUAUUGAUCAAAGGCCGUCUUUUAGUAUCAGACCAUCCGUCCGAACAAAUCGA